rnacentral:rRNA from 1 species
CAAUAGCGUAUAUUAAAGUUGUUGCGGUAAAAAAGCUCGUAGUUGGAUUUCUACCGAAGAUAGCCGGUCGGGUCUUCGACCUUGUAUCUGGUUUUGUCUUUGGUAUCCUCAUAGGGAACGUUUCUGCGCUUUAUUGCGUGGUGCGGUAUCUAUGACUUUUACUUUGAGGAAAUUAGAGUGUUCACGGCAGGCAAACGCCUUGAAUAUAUUAGCAUGGAAUAAUAACAUAGGAUCUUCGUCCUAUUUUGUUGGUUUCUAGGGCUAAGAUAAUGAUUAAUAGGGAUAAUUGGGGGCAUCUGUAUCAACGCGUCAGAGGUGGAAUUCUUGGAUUGCGUUGCGACAAACCACUGCGAAAGCAUUUGCCAAGGAUGUUUUCAUUGA